GGCCCACUGUAUGUUCAGGCGGCCAGCGGAGUAAAGUAUAAAGAUAACCAUACAAGAUGGCGGACAGGGGAGAGCAACGAUUUACAGAAGCUGAAAAGAGACAAAUAGAAAUUUGGAAUAGACAGUUCAUGCAAAAAAAGUACCUAGCACAGAUCAGGAGAAGAAAUAUGAUGGUAUUCGGAGGUCUUUUAACGUCUGUUGCUGCCAUUUAUGGAUACACACUUUUGGCAACUAAACAGGAACACCUGGACUUUGAGGAAUAACAGUUAUGGAUUCUGUAAAAAAGGGAACAGUCAUUGUGUAAUGUGUGUUCAUGAACAAGAGACUUGGAAGGAUUCUUAAACUUGAUGCAAAGGCAGGCCUUUGUGGUUGUGUAAAGCUGAGAAAGAGUAACAUGUCCAUGCAAAAUUUAACUUAAUUGAAGAGAAGUUGUUAACUCAUUGGCCAUGUUGAAGAUAUGUUGAUUUAAUUAUUAUUACAGUCUUGAUAGUAACCCAUAUUUAUUACCCUCCUUAAAUACAAUGUUAAUUGUUAUAAAAGCAACAAACAAGUUGAGGAUGAUGAAGAAAAUUUGAUGGCAGUUACGAUUGCAGCUAUGUUGUGAUGGUUUGUUAGCUUGUGUGUUGGGCAAAACUGUUAUGUAGCAUUUUAUAAGAUAUACUGAAGACCAAGAAGGGAGAUAAAAGAAUGGAGGAUGUUGUGAAUGAUGAACUUGAGUGGGCAGACAUAAUUAAGUGUAAAAGGAACUGAGGCCUUUCACUCCCAAGAUCUCAUUAGUAUUUCCGUUACUGUCUGCCAUUUAAUUCUUGUGAUGUAAGUUGGGUGAAUUUGGUACUGGAUCAACUAAGAAUCUCCUAAUUGAUUAUUUUCUUUAUUUUUUUAACCUGUCUACUUCGGAUUGUUUUCAUAUUGUGAGGAAAAAUUCUGUCUUGGUCACUUAUGGGAGUUAGUCAUGCUUGAAUUAUUGGUGAAGAGCUUGUCAUACUGGCUCUGGUUGUUCAAAGGGGCGGAUGAUGCUAUUCAACGGAUAAAUCAUUUUUCAGUAAAUGAGUAUUAACAAAACAUACUGUGCUAUCCACUGGAUAGCAACUUAUCAAGUGGAUUGCAUUACCUGCAACCACAUGAAGAAGAAGGACCACAUGCUGAGAUUAAAAGAAAAACCAAAAAAAGCAGGAAAAACGUGCAUGGCUCAUUGUUGUUGAACGUAAUUUUACAUGACACCUUGAUGAUAGUCAUUAAACUAUUUUUAACAGUGA